AUCUCUAGCUUAAGCAAUUGACGAUCCUAUCCACAGUAUUCAGGUGUACAUAAGCUCCUAUCCACACUAUCCAUGUGUGCGUAAGCUCUAGUAAAAUGAGAUCCAUCGUUCUACUUGCACAUUUAGCUUAGCUCCAUAAAAUAAAGAUGAGACGAAGCACAACCUUCCUAAAACCACAAAACAGAAAGUACCAAACAGUAAUAAAGCGAAUUGAUAGCCACAAAAAUGUUUGUUGGAAAUUUCUGCAAACAAGUAGGAAAAGCAGUAAAGGUAUUUAAAAUAGAUUAUAAAAAAACUUGUGAUAUAAAGUUAGAAAAAUAAGGAGGAUGAGGGAGAGAGAGAGAAAGCAAGAUUGAACCAUAUCUGGAACUGACGGGUGUCUCAGAGCUGAAUCCCUACUUUAAUACAACACCUGUGGAUCAACACAGUCCAAAGCAAAGGUCGAAAGUCGAGAAAUAUCAUAUCUUGCACAUAUAUAUAUAUCAUAAGGAGAAUCAAAUCUUAAUCGGCAGAACAGAGAGAAGGUUCUUCAUAUGAGACAAAUAGGUUGAACAUCCAGUGGCAGACGAAAUUUUACCGGACACUCUGUUUAGAAUUGUCAUAUAAACACAAUCAUGACGAGGGGAGAAUAUACUCGUAUUCAAAGCGCUUUCUUCUACAAGGAAUCUUUUUGAGAAAAAAUCAAAUCAGCCGAUUACCGAAACCCUGGCAAGAGAAAACACAAUCCAAACGCAAAACCCAUGAUAAUAAACCACUUGUUAAUGCAUACGAAAACCACACCUAAUACCUCGCCGGAUCAAAAUUACCAAAAUAAAACCAAUUCAGAAUCACAAUCAGACGAACGACCCCGAAUCGAUGACGAUCCAAUUGUCAAACCGGCAAAAUAACCCCAAAUAAAAUCAAAUCAGGACCACAAUCAGACGGUAUCGCGAAAGAGAAGAAAAAACACGCGAUGGAUAAACAUUGAAUUGAAUUGCGCAAGUUUCAUAGCGACGAUGAUACAUAUAAUCUAGAAAAACGGAGACGACAAAUAAACAAAAGCAAUAAUCAAACAAAACUCUAAAAUCCACAGAUAACCAACAAAGACGAGAGACGAAGAAAUGAGUUACGGUUGUAGGAGGGGACGGGUAUUUAUAGAAGAGUCGGUGUUGAGUGGAUGGCUGAGAUUAAUCGGAUCAAAGGUACCAAAUGGUUGGACAACCACCGUCAUUUUUGUUGCAAGUUUCUGCAAAUAGAAAGGAAAAACGAAAUAGGAUUUGAAAUGUAAAAAAGAAUAGAUUAUGGAGGGAUUCAUAAGAAUAUAAAAUUUGGCAUCACUAUCGUACUCACCACCACUCGUUGUUCAACACAGCCCAAAUCAUACUAUGUAGCAACCGAACUUCUCAACACAUAACACGAAAUUGCCAUACAAGCAAAUUCACGAAAAGGCGGAGAAAAGCCCAAAGCUCGAAACACUUUCCUUUUUCCAGAAAUCCUAUGACCGCGCGGAAAACAAAAUCAAACCAGCCAACAACGAGACGAGGAUGGGAAAAUAUGAACCAAAUCCAAACCACGGGAUAUUAAAUUGCAUAUCACUCCAUCACCAAACAUCAUAAAUACCUUGCCGGAUCAAUUAUCAUUCAUAGAAGACCUUGACAGCACCACAGAGAAAAGAAACAUAUAAGACACGCUCCCGAUAAUUAGACUGUAAGACCAGCAAAACCACCCAAAUCAGAACCACAAACAGAAAGGCACGAAAGAGCUUUAGAUAAAACACAAGUUAGAUUAUAUUCCCCAUUAAGUAUCCAUCACAUCUGUAGCUUUACAUAAGAGACUCUGAAGCUCAUUUUCCAACGGUUUGCAAAGGGUCCAACGAUAUAUGUAAAAUCAGAUUCAUCAUUCCUAUAGCACAUGUAGUUUCAGAUAUUAAAAUUGAACUAAGACACUUCCCUUAAGCCACAGAAGAAAGGUACUGACUGGUAGGACAGCUAAAUAAAUUAUUUUUCCGCGUAGUCAAUAGGCCAGAGUAAUGUAGAUGGAACUAGCAAAAACUUUCUUUAAACAGAAGGCCUACCAUCAUUUUUGUAGCAAAUGUCUGCAGACAGAAAGGAAAAGAAGAACAGGGGAUUUGAAGAUUGAUUUGCAAGUAAUAUGACCGUAUAAAGUAGUAAUAUGAAAAUUGAGGGAGCCGUUAGAAAAUACUCUCUCAAAGAAUCUGAGACGCAUCUCAAUAAGCCACUACCUGCUGCCGAUCAACACAUUUUGCAACCAGAAGCAAGAAAGUUUUCAUGAGAUAAAUAAAUCAGAAAUUAAAUUAUCUUCCCCGUCAUGUUGUCCGUAAAUCAGACUCAACCUCAGAUCCAACUGCACUAAUCCAUCUUUUGCUGAAGCAAUGGGUUAUCCUGUCCAAAGAUGGAACUACAGCAGACCCCCUAAAAUACACAAACAAAAGUUACCAAAUGGGAGGACAUCCACCAUCAAUUUUCGAGAGGAAAAGCAAAACCGGGAUAAGGAGAAAAUACUCAAACUUGAAGCUGUUUCUUCUACGAAAAAUCAUAUUUUAACCAUUUCCUUCGAAGUCUAUGCCAUCUCGUAAAAGAAAACCAAACCAACGGACAAGAGAAAUCAUAAUCCAAACCCACACAAUCGAAAAAUAGACAAAAUAGUGGCCGAUAAGGAAACAUCAUACCACAUGCCGUAUCAAAAUCACCCAAAUAGAUUUGAAAACAUAUGGUCAUAUUUCAAAAUUGAAUGAGAAGGAUGAUGAUUACAUAAGAAUAUACAAUCUGGAACUGACAAAAACCCCCACUGAUCGAUAAGCUAAUUAAAUCACAAAAUAAAUUAUCUUGCCAUCAUCAGAUCCAACCGAGAUCUCUAGCUUAAGCAAUUGGCGAUCCUAUCCACAGUAUUCAAUUGUACUUAAGCUCCUUAUCCAGGUAUACAUACGGUCUAGUAAAAUCAGAUCCUCGUUCUACUUGCACAGUUAGCUUAGCUCCAUAAAUAAAGAUGAAACACAACCUUCCUAAAACAACAAAACAGAAAGUACCAAAUAGUAAUAAAGUAGUAAAGCAGUAAAGGGAUUUAAAAGAUACAUUAAAAAAAUUGUGAUAUAAAGUUAGAAAAAUAAGGAGGGAGAGAGAGAGAGAGAGAGAGAGAGAGAGAGAGAGAGAGAGAGAGAGAGAGAGAGAGAGAGAGAGAGAGAGAGAGAGAGAGAGAGAGAGAGAGAGAGAGAGAGAGAGAGAUUGAAAUAUCUGGAACUGACGGGAGUUUCAGAGCUGAGUUCUUACUUUAUUACCACAACUGCGGAUCAACACAGUCGAAAGCAACAGUUGAAGGUCGAGAAAUAUCAUAUUGCACAUAUAUAUCAUAAGGAGAAUCAAAGAGAAGGUUCUUCAGAUGAGACAAAUAGGUUGAACGUCCAGUAGCAGAUCAAAAUAGCAGUCAAAAGGACGAAACUUUACCGGACACUCUGCUUAGAAUUGUCAUAUAAACACAAUUACGACAAAAAGGAGAACAUACUCGUAUUCGAAGCGCUUUCUUCAACAAAGAAUCUUGUUCAAAAAGGGUUGAGGAAAAAUCAAAUCAGACGACCUGGCAAGAUAAAACACAAUCCAAACGCAAAACCCCAUGAUAAUAAACCACUUGUUGAUGCAUAACCGAAAACCAUACCUAAUACCUCGCCCGAUCAAAAUCACCAAAAUAAAACCAAUUCAGAAUCACAAUCAGAUGGCCGACCCCGAAUCCAUGACGAUCCAGUCGUCAAACCGGCAAAAUAACCCCAAAUAAAAUCAAAUCAGGACCACAAUCAGACGGCAUCGCAAAAGUGAAGAAAAAAAACACGCGACGGACGAUGAUACAUAUAAUCUAAGAAAUAAACAAAAGAAAUAAUCCGCAGAUAACCAACAAAGACGAGAGACGAAGGAAUGAGUUACGGUUGUAGGAGGGGAUGGGUAUUUAUAGAAGAGUCGGUGUUGAGUGGACGGCUGAGAUUAAUCGGAUC
rnacentral:lncRNA from 1 species